UGGGGAAUUUUGGACAAUGGGCGAAAGCCUGAUCCAGCAAUGCCGCGUGUGUGAAGAAGGCCUUCGGGUUGUAAAGCACUUUUGUCCGGAAAGAAAUCCUUGGCUCUAAUACAGUCGGGGGAUGACGGUACCGGAAGAAUAAGCACCGGCUAACUACGUGCCAGCAGCCGCGGUAAUACGUAGGGUGCAAGCGUUAAUCGGAAUUACUGGGCGUAAAGCGUGCGCAGGCGGUUUGCUAAGACCGAUGUGAAAUCCCCGGGCUCAACCUGGGAACUGCAUUGGUGACUGGCAGGCUAGAGUAUGGCAGAGGGGGGUAGAAUUCCACGUGUAGCAGUGAAAUGCGUAGAGAUGUGGAGGAAUACCGAUGGCGAAGGCAGCCCCCUGGGCCAAUACUGACGCUCAUGCACGAAAAGCGUGGGGAGCAAAACAGGAUUAGAUACCCUGGUAGUCCACGCCCUAAAACGAUGUCAACUAGUUGUUGGGGAUUCAUUUCCUUAGUAACGUAGCUAACGCGUGAAGUUGACCGCCUGGGGAGUACGGUCGCAAGAUUAAAAACUCAAAUGAAUUGACGGGGUCAUAGCUGUUUCCU
rnacentral:rRNA from 1 species